GGGAAACUUCCGCCCUUACCAAUUACCGCCGGUACACAUCCGCCCGACGCUGAAACUUUUCCUUUUGCAUGGUAGCCACGACUGCCUAUAGCGAGGCGGCUGUAGCCCGCUUCCGCCCUUACAGAGACCCCAGGACCCGACCGCGGCAGAAUAUGACUUUUUUCAAGCCAUCUGGUUUCUUAAGGAAGUUGAGGAGUAUCAGGCCUUGAGAGAUUUAAACCCUCUUCAUUUCUUUCAACUCACACAAACACCGUCUCCCCCAGCAUCAUUUUUUUAACUUGAGAAAGAUUAUCAACUUUCUACUUAUAAAUACAAAGAAUGACUCAAUAAAGCUAUGAUUCUGCACA